AACGAACGCUGGCGGCAGGCCUAACACAUGCAAGUCGAGCGCCCCUUCGGGGGAGCGGCGGACGGGUGAGUAACGCGUGGGAACGUACCCUUUGCUACGGAAUAGCCUCGGGAAACUGGGAGUAAUACCGUAUGUGCCCUUCGGGGGAAAGAUUUAUCGGCAAAGGAUCGGCCCGCGUUGGAUUAGGUAGUUGGUGGGGUAAUGGCCUACCAAGCCGACGAUCCAUAGCUGGUUUGAGAGGAUGAUCAGCCACACUGGGACUGAGACACGGCCCAGACUCCUACGGGAGGCAGCAGUGGGGAAUAUUGGACAAUGGGGGCAACCCUGAUCCAGCCAUGCCGCGUGAGUGAAGAAGGCCCUAGGGUUGUAAAGCUCUUUCGCACGCGACGAUGAUGACGGUAGCGUGAGAAGAAGCCCCGGCUAACUUCGUG
rnacentral:rRNA from 1 species